UCUCCGUUGGUGAACCAGCGGAGGGAUCAUUAUAGAGUUUUCUAAACUCCCAACCCUUUGUGAACGUACCGAAACGUUGCCUCGGCGGGCCUCGCGCCCGCCGGCGGCCCCUUACUCUUUGCCUCUCGCGUUGUCUCUCCGAGUAUCGCAGAAUGCAUAAAAACUUUCAACAACGGAUCUCUUGGUUCUGGCAUCGAUGAAGAACGCAGC
rnacentral:misc_RNA from 1 species